ensembl:lncRNA
UUUCUCUCUCCUAGCCCCCAGCAUUAUCCAGUAUGCUCAUCCCAAACCUUAGCACAACCGAAUUGUAACCUUCUUCCCUCCCUCUGUUGGUUGUCAUUUCCAGAUCUGGAGUCCAACAUCGUAUGCAACUACUCAAGUCUUACACGGGCUUCCUGUGGUCACCAUGGGAACCCCACUUCUGUCCGCAAGAACAAAAACUAAAGUGCAACGGCCACUUUAUGCAUUCUCCAGUGUUUUACAAAAGCUGCUUUUUUAAUUUUUUUACUCAACAAUUCUUUUCUCUUUUGAUUUGCCAAUAUGUCAUUGCAUUGUUUUCUUUUCUUCUUUUUUUUUUUUCUUCACUGGAACUCCAGAGUGACUGACCAAUCAUGGGUGUCUGUUGCUCCACAUGUGUUUGUCAUUCCGCCAGUGUUUUCCAUAUCCCAGUGCAGUGGUGGGAUGUACUGGGCACUUCUUCAUCACCAUCACCUUCAUCGUCACUACUGGCCAUCUUCAUCAUCAACUUAUGCUGCCAAAUUUUCUAACCAUUAGAUAUCAGCACAGGGUUUUGGGUUUGUUUUAAUCACUUACUUUUUUCCUUUCCAACAAAGCACUGUUUUGGGACAGGUACCUGUCAUCUUUCUCUCUUCAUCCUCUGUUCUGCUCGUUUUUCUGAUCUUCAGUUCAUCUUCCACUUCUGACAAAAAAAAAAGGGUUGUCUUCCAGCUUGUAGCUGUUUCAUAGACAGAUCUGUAAAGACUAGAUUUGAUGUCCUGACUAGAUCAGUAACAACUAGAUCUGCCGUGUGGCUGUUAAGACGUGGUGUGGAGUUUCACAUGGGCCGCAGUACUUACCAGUCACUGAGUUCACUUCAGUCUAGAGACCGUUUACGUCUUUUAGCUUAGACCAAUAAAUGAUAAGAUGUGAAUAUAUUUAUAUAACUGUGUGUACAGCACACACCUAUACACACAACUCUGACCUAAAGCUGGAUCACUUAAUGGCACUUAAAGUCAAUCGAAUAACCAUAUAUGGAAUGUGCCAACACACUAAAACACGCACAUACACUCACACAUCUGACCACUACCAACUGAUGGAGGGCCGUGUGUAGGAGUUAAAGGGAUGUGAAAGCCGAGCCGGGGGAGGGGCUUGCAGGUCUUCUAGGAAGGGAGCGUGUGUGUGCCCGUGUUUCAGGGUUUUACUGAACGAGUAGGGAUCAGUUUGAGGACAGGGGUCACAGCCAAGCAUGUCCGGUGCACGGAGCACAGAUCAAGUCGAUAAUUGCAAUAAUAGGUGGGAAAUGCCUGGUUACACACAUCCACACAGUUAGGACUUUCUAGUCAUUUUUAAAUUAAGAUUUAAAAUCCUUAUCCUGUUCAUCUUUAAAUCCGGAUUGUAGGCUUCGUAUCCGGCCUCGAUCCCUCGUAGUCACCCGUAUUGGAUUCUGAGGUGGAGCCAUACAUAUCAGAGUGGUUACUGCAUUCAUCUCACCUGGAAGUGUUGCAAACACAAAUGGAGAAUAAAAAAACUGACAAAACCUUUAGACUAAGUACUUUGUAGUGAAACCAAGGCAUUUUAAAAGGUUAUUUAAGGUAAUAAAUAUCAAGCGUUGAGUAAGACGUCUUUACUGGAUGAGCUUUGUACUAGUUAGUAUAAUUCUCAACAAUAGAAAAUGGCUUAUUGUUGUUCAUUUAUUUAAUUAACCACUAAUUCUGUGUUGUUUCACAUUGAGGUUAAGAAGAGGAAAAAAAAGCUGUUGCAUUUUGUUUUCCUUGAGUGGUUGUUUGAGCGUAAGAAUCGUUCACAUCCAGGGCUGGUGUGACUCAGCCCAUCACACCACUGUCCAUCUACAUGGUGAGUUUCAGUGUGUUCGUUCAAAGCAUGGUCGCGCCAACACAGAUGGCAGCUCCUGUCUGCUUUUAAAGAGACCCACCACAUUUAGGAUCUAAAACCACAGGGAACGAAGGCAGGGGGAGUGGUUCAUGUCUGAUCUCGGUAUUUCCAUGUCAGCUGUGUAUUUUAGUCUGUGUUGUUUAAUAAGUCUUGCAUAAAAUCCAGUUCUUGGUCUCUAUCAAAUCCCAAACGUUCUGUCUGAAAAUCUGGUCCUGGUGUCGGAUUGUUAUAAAUGACCUCAGUGUCCUGCCGUUGGGUUAGAACGGGUCUGUGAUUCUGUAAAUUCUCCCACACCACCAAUCGCUCCCUCGCCCUGUUUGGCUCUGCCUGGUCCUUUAAGCCAGGGCAGCCCCAUUUAGGUCCUGGAGGUCUGAGAGACUUUGUCUUUCUGCCUGCUGUUUAAUUGCACUCCCUCCGGUGUCCCAGGUGUAAGUUGGGUCCCUUGUUCGAAAAAGAAGGAUGGAACAAGGAACGUUUCAGUCCUUCAGGAAGGACAGUGGGCGGCCCUGCUCUUUAAGUGUCGGUUGUGGGCUGCCCUAGGCGCCUCUUCACGACGGUCAAAGAGAUGACGUGUGUCAUGAGAAAUGCAGUCUACUGGCAGAACGGAACGCACGCGAGUGACCGCGGCAGGACGUAUCAUGUAAUCAACCCUAGCUUGUUUGGGCCACCAGAGUCAGGUGCCCAGUCUGAAAUCAACCUCUACCUCCACACAUUGUAUGUAGAUCUGAGAGCGUUUGGAUGGGCUGAAGCAAGACGGUCGUUCAACUCGACUGAACCUACCUGUAGGUAACCAUCGGCGGUGCUAUUGUUACUGUGUUGCUUACACCCAUCUGAUGUUAUUUAAAAGGAGCUCGACGAGGGAGGAUUUUGGAAUGGGCAAAGGAAUUCCUUUUGGCAUUCUUCUCCUCAGCCUAAACGUGAGGACAGAAUGUGUUGGAUUUGCCUGAGCUGUGUCAAGUUGAGCGCUGUGAGUGUUAUUUAAGGUGUGUAUCAUUAUUACAGAGAGCGCAGGUCUCAGCGGGUCCGCAAACACGUUCUCACACUUUCUCCGAGGGGCUUGUUUCUGGCGUUCUCACACACACGUACUGUUGCUUAUGGUUUGCAUGUCGGUGUUUUUGAUGGUAGUGAUGUCAUCAGGAGUGUUGGCGUCAGCUCCUUUCAAUUAAGUCAGGGCUGCCCAAUCCUGUGCCUGGAGAUCUACUGUCCUGUAGUUUUUAUCUCCGACUGUGAUUUAGCACACCCGAUUCUAAUAAUUAGCUGGAUGAAAAGCUUAAUUGGGUUAUUCAAAAUGGGACUGAAGAGAACCUACCAGACAGUAGAUCUCCUGGAACAGGGUUGGGCAGCCCUGAUUUAAGGCACAUGGUCUGGGUGAGGGGGUGGUGUAGAAUUUGGAUGAAAGACGACUGCUUAUUUGAAAUGGAUUUGACCCCAACUCUGAUAAAAGCACUGAUACCUGCAUAGAUCAACAGGGAUACAUUUUUUGGUCGUCCUAAUCACAUUCAUCCCUUUUUGUAUCAUUCCAUCUGAAGACAUUCUCAAAAUAUACAGGAAAGUUGAUGAACAUUCGUACAAGAAUUGUUUGUUGUUGGGGUUCCUUUUUGUAUUUUGCUAAUCUUCGUUUCUUCACGACUAUGUGAAGCCCAAAUUAUACAAAUAUUUCCCCAGACAGUUUUUAUUACCUUUUCUGUUUUAUGUCUAAAAAUGUUACCUGUUUAAAACACUACUAUUUGAGGAAUAGUAGACUUUUUCUCCAUGUUCUGCAGCUUUCUUUUUUUCUUUUUUUUUUUUGGAGUUCCUCAGAUAUUAAUUUGAACACUAAAUGUGAUGCAAAAAGUGGAAAUUCCCCAUCUUCCAAAAUACUUUUAUCCCUGGAGCGAGUUUAGGAACAACCCCCUUGAAGUUUGGUACCCAGUUUGUUCAAACAAUGGUAGCAUUACCAUACCGUUGUGGCAAACUAUGGCACAACAUUUCUUCAACAUUGCGUGAACUGAAUUGUAUGUUAGCUAUUGGUCCUGUGUUGCGGACCCAUGUCAGGCUUGUGAUAUGAAGUGUAAAUCUGUUUUUAAUUUUGUUUUUAAUGUUUUUGUUAAUUUUUUGUUUUUAUUUUUUUAAGAUCAGUUAGUGAUCUUAGUACUAUAACUAAGCCACGUUUGUAAUUGUAUAAUAUUUACUGUAAGAUGUAGAACAUUG